AUACUCACCUGCCAGGGGAGAUACCAUGAUCACAAAGGUAUUUUUCCCAGGGUGAAGCUCAUCCAUUGCACUACGGAUGUGCUGACCCCUGCGAUUUCCCCAAAUGUGGGAAACUCAUCUGCAUAAUUUAUGGCAGCGGAGGAAUGGAUUUGCGCUCUUCCC
ensembl:snRNA U1 U1 spliceosomal RNA